AUAGAAACUGUCCCUGUGACGCAUGUGUUAGAAGGCCGAAGACUAACUGGUCUCCACGAGAUUUCAGCGUGGCUCUUUUUAAGUGCUGUCUGAUUGCAUGGGAGAAUAUUUACACCAGCUGACUAGAAGAACUUGGAGCCUAACUCCAGAAGGAGAGGCAAGCAGCCCAAACCCUGGAAUGUUUAUUUGGUGAGCCACUUUUAAAAGGAAUUACCUGAUAACAUUUUGGCAAGCCAGAUGAUGGUCGUUAAAGCUCAGGUACUGGAGACCAAGGACUAGACCUUCCCAGCUGGAUUUCUUCCUUGUUGAAGUUCAGAUAAUUUAAAAUUCUAUGCCUGAUGACCUGAGCAGAACAAAUAGCAUUUAAAAUUUAGUUAAAGACACUGGACUUAAAAUACCAGCUGAUCCAUCCAGAAGCUCAGAAUAUAAACAGAGUAAUCAAGGGACAAGAAAUGCAAGUAGAACCAUCAAGAAGUUCAACUAAGUGGCUAAAGGAACUUUGGUUGGGGGAGUUCCACCCCUGAGGCCAGGAGUUAAAGGACUAGGUCCCAAGCCAAGCCAAUGGGAAGCCUCUUGGAUUCUGCCACCAUGUGGAUUUCACUGACUUCACCACUGGGCCAUAUUCUUGAUAAGUGGGAAAGGUUUGAUUCCGACAGACUAAAACAGAAACAGCUUCCCUACUUAUGCAGUAUGGCUUGGGUUCAUUACAAACCAGGAGGUGGUGAGGGAUGAGUAUGGGAUGGUACUUUAAAUUAUGAGACUAUUUUCCAAUUACAGGCUUUCGACUUAAAACAUGCAAUGUGGAAUGAAAUGCCUUCUGUUCAGGCUUUUGUGACCAUCAAAGGGAAUGCUUGGGAACUGUGGUGCUGAGAGUAUACCUCCCAAGGAAGAGAAAAUACUCUUAAUGACCCCAUCCUGAGACCCCCCACUUUGUCUUUCUUUUAGGGGGCUCCAGGUCUCUGAUCUGUUUGAUGGAACUGAGAGACCCCCUCAAACUGCUCUUUGUAGUCCCCAUGCCAGGAAAUCAAGUCCACCCCUCAGGUGACUCAGGAACUCCUUUAGAGCCCAGUGCCCCAGAGGUGCCUGGCAUUCUUCAGCCCCCUCAUCAUGUUUCUCAGAAAGCUUUAAACCCUGCAGGUCAAAUCCAAAGUGGUACUUCUUACUCACCUAAUCCACAACUUGUCCUGCCCCUAAAAGAAGUCCCAGGGGCAGGAUGGAAUACUCAAGCAUAGGUCUCUUUCAUUUGUAAUUGUCUAGCAGUGCAAAGAAAGACUAGGCCAACAGUCAAAGAACAAUAGCAAGUUUGCAGGGAAUUUCAAACUUUGACCCUUGCUUUUAUCAGAGUGAGACGUCCAGUUCAUCUUAUCCAAUUUCUACACCCAAGAUGAAAGACAAAGAAUCCUACAAGAGGCAAGAAACUAUGCAGUUGACCAACACACUUGGAAAAGGAAAGGAAACCCUCCUGGAUUAGCUAUUCUUCCUCCAACUGAACCAUACUGGGACUCUAAUAUUAGACAUGGAUUAGAAAUGAUGUCCAAAUGUUAGCUGCUCUUAUCAUGGAAAUGAAAAAGUCUAUGAACACUGAUAAAGUAUGUGGGGUCAUAUGGGCCACAGAGGAAACUCCAACUUUCUUCUGUAACUGAUUAAUAGGAUCUUUUAUAAAUUUGAAAAUAUAGAUCCACCCUCCAGGGCAGGGAGAAGCAGUAGUGGGACAUCAUUUCCUCUGUCAACCCCAGAUAUUUUGUGUAAACUACAAAAACCUCAUAUGGAGCCACAGACACCAAUAGCCCAACUGCUGGACAUGACCCUUUCUGUGUGCAACAGUCAGGACCCAGAGGAGAGACAAAAGAAGAAAGCUAGGCUCAUGGCUGUUGCAAUUGGUGAUGCUAUAAACCCAUGCAAGUUGUCUAAGGAAAAACACAGGCACAGCCAGGAAAAGAAUGCCUAAUUUAAGUGCAAAAGGAUUGGACAUUGGGCUCUCCCAAGCCUCUGCCUGUGCCCUAUUGUGUAUGUGAGGCAGCAAAUGUGCCUGAUUCAUGGCAUUGGAGUGACUAUCCCCAGUUUCAGAGAGGGCCUAGGCAGCCAAGACUCUUCACUUCUUGUUCAAAUGAAGAGGCCCAGGGGAACCUGCAGUGCCUCUGUCCAUAGAUAGCACCUUCUCCUCAAAGAACACUAGCUAAUCUCAGACAUCAUGUGUGAGCCAAUUCAACUGCUUAUCAAUGCAGGGUCAGCUUGUUCUGUGUUUACUUCUCUCCCUGGAAAACUCUCCGCUAAAGUCUCCUCACAUCCUACAGCUGUGGUUGGGGUAAAAGGGACCCCUAGUCAGAGAUUCUUUACCCCUCCUCUGACAUGUCACUUUGAAAGUCAAAUGUCUAAUUGUGAGUUUUUAAUUGCUCCUCAGUGUCCUAUUUCCUUGCUAAGAAAAGAUUUACUAACAAAACUGGAAUUGGGUGUGCAAUUCUCAAAGUCUGACUGAGGUCAUAAUGGAUUUUGUGUGUUGGGACUACACCAGGUCUCCCUGAACAAACUAGUCAACAAGCCAGUCCUGCUGCAUGGUAUGAUGGAACACCCGAUGUGGAAAACUAUGCUGUGCCAAUAGUUAUAAGGCUAAAAGUUCCCAGCUGAUUUCCUCACCAAAAACAGUACCCAAUCAGGGAAGAGGCAUGUAAAGCUUUCAGACUCUCAUAGACAAGUUUCUCAAACAUGGCCUUCCGAAGCCUUGUCAGUCCCCUUGCAAUAUUCCCGUUCUUCCUGUGCUAAGACCCUCAGCAGAAUGAUGGACAGUUUAAGACCUCUGCCUCAUUAGCAAAGCUACCAUUUCAGUCUGUCCUCUGGUGGCAGAUCCAUAUACAACUGUUCCUCAAAUUUCAGGGCACACUAACUGAUGCUCAGUCUUAGAUUUAAAGAUGCAUUUUUGUCCAUCUCCCUACAUCCACACUCCCAAUUGCUGCUUGCCUUUGAAUGAGAAAGUCCCAUUUCAAGAGAAAAGCAGCGAUAUAUUUGGACAGUUCUCAAACAAGGGUUUAGAGUCUCAACUUCUUGCUCACACACUAGAGAAAGACUUGAGGAAUUUAAAGCUUAAACAGGGAGUCAUCCUACAGUAUAUAGAUGAUAUUCUAGUUUGCAGCCCAUCUAAGGAACUAUCUAACUCUUAACACUGUACAGACUCUCAACUUUCUACCUAAAAAGGUAUAUAAGAUCUCCAAAGAAAGGACUUAGAUAUUCCUCCAGAAAGCUCAAUAUCUGGGAUCUAUUCUUAUAUCUGGGGAAUGACAGCCAUCUAGGGACCAGAUCCAGGCUAUCUAUUAUCUUGGGCUUCCUGCCACCAAGCAACAGCUUCACUCCUUCCUAGGGAUGGCUUGGUUUGUAGCAGCUGAAUUCCUAAUUGUGGACUAGCUUUCCAGUCCCUUCAGAGUGACACUGGACAUUGCAUUACCUAAUAACCCAGGGAAUGGCAAAACCUUUAGAAUAAGGCAGCCUAAUCUGAUGGAAAGAUAAGAGUCAAUCACACCCUAAAGCAAAACUUUACCAACAUAUGACUGAGUUCUGCCAGUUGCUGCCAGUAGAACUCAUGAUGAUUCAUACCAUGCUCCAAACUGGGAUAAGUUGAUCUAUUUAUGAUGUUAUAUUAGAGGCCAUUUCUAUUCCCUGAUAUGAUAGUAGACCCAAAGACCACAAGGCUCACUAAUCUUGGCCAAAAACAACAGACUAUCCAAAGGUAUAGGAACAGAAUCCUUCCAGAUCCUGGCUGAAGAUGACCACCUACUGUCCAUCCUGGAGGCCAAGCGCUUGUGAAAGCUUGGAAACAGGGGACACCCACUGAUUAAAAUCAAAAUGAAAGGGCCCCUUCUCAGUAAUCCUUGCCACACCCAUUGCAAUUAAGAUGGCAGAUAGAUAUUGACUCAUCUUUCUAAAAUACAGCCAGUCCCAUCUGAAUUGUCUCAACAAGAUCACCCAAAAGGAGAAAGCUACUUGUGAACCUCUGGAAGAGCUGAGAUUUCUCUUCAAAAGUAAGACUCCAGUGCUGCUACAGGAAACAUGGAACUCUGACCUGCUCCCCACUUUUGGACUAAUAGUGAAGUUUUUCCUGUCCAACAGGCAGCUCAAUUGUCCUUGACUCUUUUUUUCAUUGUUUUAUGACAGGGUUUUCUUUCUUCAGUCCAGCCAGAGAGCCACAGAACCCCAAGAUAUUUGGAGAACAUGUGAUCUCUGUAGGGUUUACAGCCUUAUCCAGCUUGAAAAAGCUAUACAAGACAGAGACCUCCACUCCUCAGCACUUCAUAAAAAUUGUGUGUCUCUCAGGAGAAAAUGAAAUGGGCAACUGGGGCAUGGCAAAGCUGGCUGGGGAGGUAGACAUGACCUGUUAACAAGAUCCUGGAACAUGUACGCAGAACAGUUUCCAAGCCUUGCACGUGGACUUAUGAGAAAUCGAGCCAGUUUUCAACAGGGUGGCCUAGAUGGGACAUCAGCCUGAGGCCUGGGAUUCUAGCAUCACCCCUCAGGACCCGUAUAUAGAAGUUCUCAUACGUUUCCCAAAAAUGUGGAUGUCAUAAAGGGCACGGAUGUCAAGAGGAGCCCUCCACUGUGGCUCUCCUGAUGCUAGCCCACCUUGCAUCCUCCAGGGUGUACUUUUAUCUUGCCUUCCUUUUUCAACUUGGUCCAAGAUGACUCUGCAGAGCCAGGUUCUCUUCUAUGCUUCACUUUUACUUUUUCAAAUAAACUUUGCCACUGAUUUUUA